CGCAGCAUGUCGUGGUUGUGUGCGUGCGUCCACAGCUGCGGCAGGUAGGAGAGUCACCGGCUACUGUCUCUGAUGGACUACUCACUUUGAGUAGGUUGACGGAGGCGGCUAGCGCGGCCGCUCGCAGCAUGUCGUGGUUGUGUGCGUGCGUCCACAGCUGCGGCAGGUAGGAGAGUCACCGGCUACUGUCUCUGAUGGACUACUCACUUUGAGUAGGUUGACGGAGGCGGCUAGCGCGGCCGCUCGCAGCAUGUCGUGGUUGUGUGCGUGCGUCCACAGCUGCGGCAGGUAGGAGAGUCACCGGCUACUGUCUCUGAUGGACUACUCACUUUGAGUAGGUUGACGGAGGCGGCUAGCGCGGCCGCUCGCAGCAUGUCGUGGUUGUGUGCGUGCGUCCACAGCUGCGGCAGGUAGCCGAAGAGCGCGUCGGCGCCACCGCCGCGCGCGACGGAGG